rnacentral:lncRNA from 1 species
GGCGUGGGUUGUGUGGCCUCUCCCAGCUCCACGCGUUUCUGGGCGCCGGGCACUAGGCGAGCCGGCCGGGCUGGCGCGAGGCCGCAGGCGGGAAGAGUCCCCGGGGUCGGCCCCGAAGCGGCUCUGGAGGCAGUAGCCGGGGACGCCGAGGUCAGGGAGGAGGCGGAUCCGAGCGCGGUCCCGCAGGGCCCUGUCCGUUCUUCCGCCUCGGCCGGUCCCGUCAGGCCGCCUUUAAAUGCCCGGCGCCUCGCACCUGCUAACAAAACGAGCUCCUGCUGUUCCCCAGCUCCGUAAAUGGUGCCCCUGGCCCUCCCCAGUUCUCAGGCAGAGCCUUGGCGGCCUCCCUGACCCCUAACACCCCGCAUCCAGCCCGGCAGUACAUCCUGUUGGCUGUGCCUUCGAAAUUUCCCCAGACCUGACCUCUUCUCCCACCUCUGCCACCACCCUGCUCCGAGCCGUCUUUUCCCGCCGAGAUGACUGUAGUAGCGUCUCAGCUGGGUCUCCCCGCUUCCACCUUCCCCUCCUGAGUCUCCUCAACACAGGAGCCAGAGCGAUCUCGGAAAGUACAGGAGGUCAUGCCCCAGUGUGGUUCCCCUUUCCUGGGUUUAAGUCAAGGUCCUCACCGUGCCUGCCGGCCUCCCGGGUCUCUGCGCGGUGGACUCUGGACCUCCCUGCCCCGUCCUGCCUCAGGGCCUUUGCACCUGCUGUUACCGCGGCCUGGAACGCUCCUCCCCUGAAACCCUGUGACUCCCACUUAGUGAGGCGACCACCUGUUGAAAACCGUGCCCCCUUCCUAUACAGAUGCUCCUGUCAUAUGGGGUUAGAUUCCCCAUCAACCCAUCAUAGGUUAAAGCAUUGUAAGGCAAUUUACGGUAGGUUUAUCCGGAUGUAACCCCAUCUGUAAGCGGAGGAGUAUACUGAAUGUGUAUGGCGUUUGUACCAUGGCAAAGCCAAAAUGUAAGUCAAACUCGAAGUCCAGGACGGUCUGUGGCCUGUACUCCCUUGCUUUCCCUCCCCGGCUCUUAGCGCCAUCCAGCAUCGUUGAUAAUGUAAUUUGAUGUGUAUUGUCUGAAAGCACCAAGACGGCAGAGUUUCUCUCUUAUCCAGAUCACAGUGUGUGCUCAGUAAACACUAGACUGAGGGGGUGUAUGAGAGGUCUUUUUUUCCUCUCUCCUUCCUCAGGAAUGGGUGAAGAUGAAGUCCUGUAAGGCAGGAGCUGGAUCAAAGAAAUAUCCCGGGUCUUGUCUGUGUGCAGACUGUUGUUUGAGGACUCUGCUCCAGUUCUAGCAGCGAUCGGUGGCUCCCUUGGGUGACUCUCCAGAAGGAAGGGUGCCAGCAUGGACUGGUGUCUGCUUGCCAGAUGCCCUGAACAGCUCAUUCCUCAGGAGGCCAGGGGCGCCUCAGGAAGUGCUGUCAAAUGCAAUCACUCUCAGAACCCUCUGGGCUGAAAGAUGUCAUUGAUUUAUGCUGGCAGCCCCGCGCAGCACUCUGCUAGGUGUUGAAUUGUCUGGAGAACACCUGGUAUCACCCUCAAGGCCCCUUAGUCUGGUAGGAAGGAAUGAUGAGGAAGAGGCUGUGUGGAAGUCACAGAGAAGGAGGAGGGUGGGAUCAGUUUCCAGGGUGGGGUCUCUGGAAGUCCUCUCAGGGGUUCUCAGGGGGGCAUUUCUGCCUAGAGCAGCAGGUGUAAGGCGUGAGCCAUGGACGAAGGGAAGGAGCCAGCCAUCAUUGAUCGCCUCCUCUGUGCUGGAUGUGGCUCUAGAUGUCAAGCUCACAUUUACACAUUAGCCUUCCUUUACAGAGGAGGAAACAGGCUCAGAAAGCCCCUGACCCCGGUUACACCACUACUAAAUGCAGGAUUCAGAUCUUCAGUUGAGCUCUUUGUGGCCGUGAAGCCUGUCCUCUUCCCAGGGCUCGAUGCCACUUCCCAGGCUGGAAGCCAGACAAGCAUCCGGGGCUGCCCGGAAUUGCAUGCAAAUGUCCGGACAGCCGGCUUCCUCGUGGGCCCCGGCACUGGCAGAGGAACUCUUUGCCGGGCAUGUGGCUUGGGCAGGCCAGGGCAGCCAUCUGCCAGCCAGCCAUGUGGGGAGGAGGCUGUAGGCCACCCCACAGCCAGAUGCUUCUGGGCCGGUCCUGGGCUCCCAAAGGUAGUUCCUUCAGGAGAUGGAGUCACCUGGCUCCUCUCUUCCCUUCCACCCAGUUCCAAAGUCAGGGGUUCUGGGGCUGUGUCAGCAAGGGGCCAUUCUGGCACUGUCCUUCUGGCACAGAGCAUUGUGGCCAGGGAUGGACAUCUGUUCUGCAUUGACCCCCAUGGCCAGGACAUCUGUGGCCCCACGGAACUCAGUGACAAGGAGAGUCGGCAGCAGGGAAAGGCCACGCUCUGUAGUGUGUCUGCCAGGUGGCAGAGGAUCCCUGACACAGCCCAGCUGGCAUCUGCCCUUGCCACUGAGGCUUCCUGAGGGCAGUCCCCAAGGGUCCUGCCAUGCCAGGGCUCCCCUUCUGCCAGGCAGUGGCUGCUUAAGCUGAGGGAGGGAGAAGCUGGGAGUUGGCCAUGACUGAUGGUACCAGGCCAGUGGGAUCUGGAGCCCACAGAUGGUGGAGGAUGGGGCACAGCCCCCACCCCUUACCUGUGACGUGCCCUGCCGGCGGGCAGAGGCAUCCGGUCUGCUCUGUAGAAGUUGGAGGUACAGACUGGCAGAGGGAGAAGCGGAAGAGAUAGCAUCAUUUUACAGAAGGGAAAGCUGAGGCCCUGAGCCAGGGGGAUAUGCAUGGAUGCCCCGUGGGCUUUCUCGCGUUUACUCCUCCGCACAGGGCCCUGUUUUUCAAUGGAGGAAUUAGGGCUUGAAGGAAAUGAAGUGAGGUUUCCAGGGUCCCCUGGCUAAGCCAGUUAUUUGGCCCUGACCGGUGCAAAUCUGAGAGGGGGACUAAGCAGGCCCUCAGGCCAGGGUCCGAGCUUGCUCACUCAGCCACAGCAGGGAAGAGUCAGCCUGAGGCAGCAGGCCCAGGAUCGAGGGUGACCCUCCUCCCAGAAGCAAGAUGUGGUGAGGUCCCAGAUGGGCUGGGAAGGUGGCAUGAGGGCUUGCUUCAAGGGAGCCUGCUGGCUGGCCUCCAGUAUCCACCUGGAAACAGCCCCCCAGGUGUGCCCCUCGAGCUGCUAACCCCAAUCUGGCCACCCCCCAACUCGCUCCUCAGCACUCCAGUGGUCAGGGUGUCCCCUUCCCUGGUCCCUCCUUGCCCCUCCUCUUAGCACCAGCAACCGGGGCCUCCAGCAGGCCAGAGAUCUUCCCACAGCCUCCUGGGCUUCCUGCCCAAGGCAGGGGCUGAUCUCUCAAGGGUGGGUGGGACUUCCGGCUGUGCCAUCAGCAGUUCCUGGCUGUAUCAGUUAGCUUUGGCUGUGUAACAAAUCACCCCAAAGCCUAGAGGCUUCACACAACUACCAUCUCUUAUCCCUCACAGAUCCCUGGGUUGCCUGACCAAUUCUGGUGUGAGCUUCCCUGCUCAGGGGACAGCUCCCUGAGCCCAGAGCCCUGACUGCAGAGCUGCCGCCUGCAGCCCUGCAUGCUGUUUCUCACCACACUGUGUCCCCGCCCUUCCAGCCCGUGGAGUCACACUUCGCCACCCAGCCCCCGAGGACACACUCAUGGAACCCCCAGUCAGGCGUCCAGACUAAGCCACCAGGGUGGCUCCUCUCAGCCCCACUCCUGACCAAAGCUUCCUGCCUAUCGAGCGUGGGGACCAACUGCAGGCACCUCCGUCUUCAAUGCCACUCCGGAGGCAGAGGGGAGCCUCCACCUUCCCUGGCAUUGUCACCAUCAACCUUAACAAUAGUUUGACUUGGUUAAGCUCCUCCAAGGGCCGGGGAGGAGCACAACGGAGCUUCAGGAAGCAGCUUUCCAGUAAGUGCCGGGAGCCUUCUUGGAAGCAGGCAGAGGAUGAAUUAUAAAUAAACAAACCAGAGCCCUGCAGCGGCGUGGGCCGGGUGGGAAGAGGGGAGAGACCGGAGGCAGGGCCUCACUUAGGUGCUAAGCAGCCCCUGGCCUGGCCCCCGCCAGCCCUCCCACCCUGCCUUGCACCCUGGCCUCGGGGACUCAGCGGCCUUCCUGCUCAGGGCAUCGGCGGGGACCUCAGGCUUCUGGGGCCAACCUUGGCCAGGCUGCAGAGGGGAGGCCUAGUGUAGACCCCCACUGUGGGACUGGGAGGCCCCCCUGCCUCUCACAACUCCAAGGGUACAGGCCCAAGUCUCUCUCACACCAAAACAGGCCCCGUGGCCACUCAUCCGUGUGGGAGGUGUCUCACCAAAUGUUUGAAGGGGAAAAAAAAUCCCAUUUUCUAAGGUGUUUUUUUCCUUUCUAUUUUUUGAUUAUUUUUCUAGAUGACUUCAUUUCUAAGAAGGGGGUAGUGGAGAGAAGGAGGACAGGGGGAGGGAGGACUUGGGCCCUGAGGAGGCCGCCGGGGACCAGAGCAGCGUUGGGGGAGGAGAGCGAGAGCCAGGCCCAGGGAAAGCCCAGGCCUCUUCAACCUGGGGAAUGGGGGGCUUCUGUGACCCGAGCCCAGGUGUGUCCCGAACCCAGGUGCCUCGAGUGCCGGCUAUGAACACAUCUCCCUCCUGAUCUCCCACGGGCCUGCUGGCCGCCUGUACUCCCACGAGGCCCUGUGGGGGAGGUCGGCUCUCCUCCAGCAGGAGGGGAAGGGUCUUCAGGCCUUCACCCCAGAUCUCUGGCAUGUGACGCGCCCACCCCCCACCUGUCCCAGGGACAGAGCUGAGAGCACUUCCCCAUCCCACACACCACUUGGAACCGGCAGAACCCACUCUGGCCAGCUUAAUGGAACCCAAUACAAGAUAUUAGGAGGCUCAUAGAACCUUCCGGAGAGCCUCGGCGGCCACACAGCCAAGAACAAGGGCCCAACCGUGCAGCCUCCCCCACCGGGCAUGGACCCAGCAGCCCGCACCUGCUGUUCUGAAAGCCAGGGCCCCGCUGCCGUCCCCGUUGGUCAAGGGAUUCUGGAGGCAUCGGCUUCCUGGCAUUGCUCACCUCUGAGGCUGAGGCUGAGGCUGGCAGGUGCGAGUGGAGCUGGCUCCUAUGCCUGGGCUCGGGCUGCAAGGGAGGCAGGCCCAGGCACAGGAUGGUGCUCAGAAGGUGGUGGCCACCCCAGCACUCCCUGAGCCCUUGAAAGACUUUUCCAACCCCAAUACCCAGCAGUCUGCUGGGCUGGAGAGACGGGAAGGGAGGCUGUCUCCCUCUCUGGGGGCUGCCAUUAACAAAUGAGCAUCAACUUGAUGGCUGAAAUCAACCGACAUUUAUUCUCUAACAGGUUUGGAGACCAGAAUUCCAAAAUCCUUCUGGUCCUCUGCGGGGACCCUGUCCCAGGCCGCUUUCCCAGCUUCCGUGGGUGCUGGGGACCUCGGCACUCCUUGGCCUGUGGAUGCAUCUCUCCCACUGUCCCACCUCUACCUUCCCCUGUGGGUGUCUGGGUCUCAAAUCUCCCUCUGCCUUUCUCUUUCGAGGACACCUGUCAUUGGAUUUCAGGUUAACCCUUCAUGCAGGAUGAUUUUAUCUCGAAAUCUUUAACUUUAUUCCAUCUGCAAAGACUAAUUCCAAAAAAGGUCACAUUCUGAGGUUGUGGGUGGACACCUGGGACCACCAUUCGGGGCACUACCAUGGGCAUGAUAAAUGGGCACAGGACGGGCAGCCGGGGAGGGAGGAGGAGAAGAGGGAAGGACGUGGGUGUCGGCUGGGACCGCUGGGGCAGGAGGAGCCAACUGCCUUGGGACUGUCGUCCUGGACGUGGGAUUGUCUGUCCUCUUACGCCCAGACCUGCUUGCCACUGCCAGAUGGUGUUUCCCACCACCCUUGGCCUCCUCACUGUUGCCUGGCAUGUCCCAGUUCUACAUGCCAUGAGCGCCCCACCUGCCCCCCAACAGCUUCCAGACCCCCUCCAAGCCUCAGAGCCCUGGGUUCUCCUGAGUCCCAGAGGCAAGAGAAGCUGCCCCAUUCCUCUCACCCAAGCCAGCCUCUUUCUCGGGUCACUGAAAGGACAGUAAGCCCCGCCAUCCCCUCGUCUCCUGACUCCCCAUAGCCCAAAGCUCUUUCUCCUCCCCAAAUCCCGCCCUGUGGAGUUUAAGCCAUUUCUUCUGAUGAGGCUCCCAGAGACAGAGACCUGUCAAGAUGCACAGGGCCAUGAGUCAGACUGGGGCAUGAAAAUGUCUGCACACAUUCUGCACACAGUCUCGCCUUUGAGGGAGACCUCAGAACUGCCUUUGAGGGUGACCUCAGAACUGCCUUUGAGGGAGACCCAAAUCCCAUUUCAGAGAUGAGGAGAGAGGUUUAAUACCCUGCUCCUGAGUUCACACAGACACGCCUGGACUUGAACCUGAAAUGACCAACUCCAGCUGUGAGUGACUCUUUUCUCUGAUUGCACCACAGGGACUCAGUCCCGUGAGGAAUGCUAUCCCUGCUGAAAUCCUUCUGGGGACAGGGAACUCACCACCUCACAAAACACAGGCUAAGGCCAGGCACGGUGGCUCAUGCCUGUAAUCCCAACACUUUGGGAGGCCAAGGUGGGAGGACUGUUUGAGGCCAGGAGUUUGAGACCAGCCUGAGCAACAUCUCAAGAUGCUGUCUCUACUAUAUAUGUGUGUGUGUGUAUACACACACACACUAGCUGGGUGUGCUGGCACACACCUGUAGUUACAGCUACUUGGGAGGCUGAGGCAGGAGGAUUGCUUGAGUCCAGGAGGUCGAGGCUGCCACGAGGCGAAAUUGCACCACUGCACUCCACCCUGGGUGACAGAGUGAGACCCCAUCUCAAA